AAAAGUCGUAACAAGGUUUCCGUAGGUGAACCUGCGGAAGGAUCAUUAACGAGUUAUUGAACAGGUUGUAGCUGGCCUUCAGGGGCAUGUGCACGCCUGGCUCAUCCACUCUUCAACCUCUGUGCACUUAUUGUAGGUCGGUGGAAGGGUAAGUCUAAGUGAUUAGACUUGCUUGGAAGCCUUCCUAUGUUUUUACAAACGCUUCAGUUUAAGAAUGUAUCUCUGCGUAUAACGCAUUUAUAUACAACUUUCAGCAACGGAUCUCUUGGCUCUCGCAUCGAUGAAGAACGCAGCGAAAUGCGAUAAGUAAUGUGAAUUGCAGAAUUCAGUGAAUCAUCGAAUCUUUGAACGCACCUUGCGCUCCCUGGUAUUCCGGGGAGCAUGCCUGUUUGAGUGUCAUGGUAUUCUCAACCUUCAUAACUUUUGUUAUCGAAGGCUUGGAUUUGGAGGUUGUGCUGGCUUCUCGUCAAGUCGGCUCCUCUUAAAAGCAUUAGCGUGAGUGUAACGGAUCGCUUCGGUGUGAUAAUUAUCUGCGCCGUGGUCGUGAAGUAACACAAGCUUGCGCUUCUAACCGUCCUUCAGCUGGACAAAUUUACUCUGACAUCUGACCUCAAAUCAGGUAGGACUACCCGCUGAACUUAA
rnacentral:rRNA from 1 species